rnacentral:rRNA from 1 species
GAUGAACGCUGGCGGCGUGCCUAAUACAUGCAAGUCGAGCGAACUGAUUAGAAGCUUGCUUCUAUGACGUUAGCGGCGGACGGGUGAGUAACACGUGGGUAACCUGCCUGUAAGACUGGGAUAACUUCGGGAAACCGAAGCUAAUACCGGAUAGGAUCUUCUCCUUCAUGGGAGAUGAUUGAAAGAUGGUUUCGGCUAUCACUUACAGAUGGGCCCGCGGUGCAUUAGCUAGUUGGUGAGGUAACGGCUCACCAAGGCAACGAUGCAUAGCCGACCUGCGAGGGUGAUCGGCCACACUGGGACUGAGACACGGCCCAGACUCCUACGGGAGGCAGCAGUAGGGAAUCUUCCGCAAUGGACGAAAGUCUGGCGGAGCAACGCCGCGUGAGUGAUGAAGGCUUUCGGGUCGUAAAACUCUGUUGUUAGGGAAGAACAAGUACAAGAGUAACUGCUUGUACCUUGACGGUACCUAACCAGAAAGCCACGGCUAACUACGUGCCAGCAGCCGCGGUAAAAC